GCGUCUGUAGCUCAAUGGAUAGAGCACCUGGCUUCGGACCAGGGGGUUGCGGGUUCGACU
rnacentral:tRNA from 1 species